CGCCUGCACAUCCAGAACCCAUCCUUCUCCCAGAUCAACCAGCUGGUGUCCACCAUCAUGUCAGCCAGCACCACCACCCUGCGCUACCCCGGAUACAUGAACAACGACCUCAUCGGCCUCAUCGCCUCACUCAUUCCCACCCCUCGACUACACUUCCUCAUGACUGGCUAUACCCCCCUCACCACGGACCAGUCAGUGGCCAGUGUGAGGAAGACAACAGUUCUGGAUGUCAUGAGGAGACUGCUACAGCCCAAGAACGUGAUGGUGUCCACAGGCCGGGAUCGUCAGACCAACCACUGCUACAUCGCCAUCCUCAACAUCAUCCAGGGAGAGGUGGACCCCACCCAGGUUCACAAGAGCCUGCAGAGGAUCCGGGAGAGGAAGUUGGCCAACUUUAUCCCCUGGGGCCCGGCCAGCAUCCAGGUGGCCCUGUCAAGGAAGUCUCCCUACCUGCCCUCACAUUUCUGAGUUCAUGUCCCGUCUAGGAGCUGUUCCUAUCUCUUCCUUCUCAUUCCUGGUUCUUCACUGACUUCUUUGGUUCUAAUAAAGCAAGAAGGCUCGAUGAU
rnacentral:lncRNA from 1 species